rnacentral:rRNA from 1 species
UACGUAGGGUGCAAGCGUUGCCCGGAUUUAUUGGGCGUAAAGGGCGCGUAGGCGGUCACGCACGUCCGUUGUGAAAUCCCCCGGCUCAACUGGGGAACUGCACAGGAAACUGCGAGGCUUGAGUUCGGGAGAGGGAAGCGGAAUUCCGGGUGUAGCGGUGAAAUGCGUAGAUAUCCGGAGGAACACCGGUGGCGAAGGCGGCUUCCUGGACCGACACUGACGCUGAGGCGCGAAAGCGUGGGGAGCAAACAGG